UAAUAACCAGAGUGCUGUAAUGAGAGUGGCGACACUCUUUGAAAUCGCCGACAGGAGGUCACGUGGUUCAUGGAGCUCUGAAUAGUUCAAUACAGCACAGCGUUCUUCGUUGGGUUCAGCGGAUUCUGGCGGGAGGCAACGCGGACAUUACAAUUUUAUUCGUCAUUUUCGCAUGGGGAUGCUAAAUCUCAUCCUCUUACACAGCGUGGAAGAGAUUACAUGUUCUGCUUCUUCUUACCUUCACAUCAACGUCCUUCAACAAAGCCUCAAUCAAAACUGUGGAAGAUCUCAUUCAGUUUGUUUUCUCUGCCUGGUAUCAGGUGGAAAAUGUACUCAUGGCAAUGUUAAAUGAAUAAUUUCAAGCAGGUUUGAAGGAUAAAAUGUAGCUGUAGAUGCUAACUGGUGUCUUUAGAUGAAUUAUUUCCUAUAACAAACAUUACUAUUCUAUUAUCAUAUCUGAUCAUAUUUUCCUGUCAUAUGAGCUUAAUACAUGCAUCUGUAUCCAUGUAUAUUGUAUUUCUAACCAGAAAACUACCGUAAAAUGGCACUGAUCUGACUCCACUAAAUGUUAAUUCACUGACCCUUUUAUAAUAUUAGCUAACAAGUAUCCAUGUUCAAAAACAGCUUUUUAACAAAAUAUUUUUAUUAAACAAUGUUAUUAUUGAAAGUGUAAUAAAUGCAGAAAUAAAGAAGUACUUUUACUAAUACUUGUAAUGUUUAAUAGUUGAAUCUGCAACAAUUAAUUGUUUAAAGGUUCAUUCAAUGAGGGUUCAUCCUUCUCAACUUGGCAGUUGCUUCAUUUGGUAGUGACCAUCUCUUCGAAACAUCAGUGGACUCUGGUAACAAAAAAUACAGAAAUAAUUCAUCAUCAAAAGCUCCAAAGUCAGACUGAAAAACUGGUGGUGUGUUCCUUUCAUUUCACUUUUCAUUUAUUCAUCCAUAUCAAUUUUCUGUACCAUACAGAAUUACAUAAAAAAUACAAUAAAGCCCUAACAUGGAUGAAAGGAGCAUGUAGAAGAUGUCAUAUAUUACAUGCCCUCUACAAAAAACAGCUUGAAUAGAUGACCAGUAGCAAUCUUUUCCACAGUCCAUGUCCAAAUUACAAACAUUGUUAAUUCUGAAAUAAAACUCUUAAAAAGG